ensembl:snoRNA SNORD22 Small nucleolar RNA SNORD22
UCCCAGGGAAGCAACAUUCACAAGUCUUACCUCCUGCCCUAAUCUCAGAGCCGGUUAAGGUGGACCCACUGGCACUGGCUGGGGGAGAAGAAAGUUUGUUACCAAAGGAACCGUCUGAGGGAC